CGGGCCGAGGGGUGCUGCGACGGAGCGAUCCGCCACGCUCGGCCCGCGAUCCUCGAGACAAGGGCGCCCUCCAUGC
rnacentral:ncRNA from 2 species